CAGCGUGAACAGAGUUAACCUGUGGUCUGGGUUCCUCGAUUGACUGAAUGUGGGACUAAGUCCCUCACACUUCAAGCUUUGUCAACAGCAGUACAGUAGUAAACGCCAUGUAGCUGAACUCUCCAUUCUGAGACUGUAAAGCUCAAACCACACUUCUCCUCAGGAACGAGCUCCCAGCCUCCCACUGGAUCGUGUUACCAUUUCUGUUGACGUCUCCCGUUAUUUAAUAGUGAUAAAUAGGCCCGCAGUCAUGUUACCGGGCAGACUGGGCUCGAACCCCUCUGUGGCUAUUCAGCUCUGAGGUCAGAUGUCAACAAACAGGGCAGGAUGUAGAACAUCUAUAUCAGAUAACAUCUCCUGUUCUGAAGAGGAAUGGGGGUCAGAUAAGCCACAGACAGGAGGCCAUUUCCCAGGGCUCCCUGUUAGCCAGAUCUUGUCCUCCAUAUGUUCCCGUUGGCCCUGCCACAGCUUCAACGUCAGCUUCCCCGUCAGCCUUCCCGUCCAGCCUGGGGAAUUACUUCCCCUUACGCUCCCCUUGACAGACUGACAUCAUUAAUAAGAAAAAGGAGUUCUGGCUGAGAUGACGGACUAGAAGGGGUUGCUGAGGGAAAUGGCAGCUCAUAUGUGACUGACUCACCGCUUGGAGGGAUGCUUUAUUUCAAAUGAUGCACACACAGAUGCACAUAUACACACCACCAAGCCUGAUUGCUCCUGGCUAGGAGGUCUAAUGUUGUGAAAGCUGCCUUAUUGCUUUCCUGGCACAACAUGAAGUGACAUGAAGAUGACUCAUCGGGAUCCACAGUUGAUAGUCAAGACAGAGACAUACCAUUAGGCUGUAGGAGGCAUCUGCCUUGCUGCUGGUGGAGAACAUCUCAUUUUUCUUUCCUCACCUUAAAUCAAUCCAAUACUUUACUAAUCGAUCCGAUGUUUUGAGUAACAGCGUCACAAAACUUGCUUCACCUGAGCACGUACUGUGCCUGAACAAGUUUGAUUUCACAUUCUCCUCCUCUUAGUGAAAUAACAAAGGUUUAGUUUCUGGUUUGUAAGCUUUUGCUGAAACAGCAGAUAUUUCCUGUCUUUGAAGGUCACCCAGAGGCACUUAACAGACUCCAGAGUGUCUCAUCCAAACCUUGGCACGAGCUUCUCUUUCCAUCUGAGUUACUUGUUUGUAUCCAAUGCCAUAAGCUCUCCUCACAAUCCAAAAGUUUGCAGUGAAGAAUAUUGUACAGUACAAUUCUCUAUUGACUCUAACCAUUAUUAGGACACACAGGCCACUGAGAUCCACCCACUUAUAUUUCACUCUCAAGCCAACACAGUCACAAAAGAGUUGCAGCGAGGAUAGAAAGAUAGAGAUGAGAGCGGGGAGAGCAAGAGAUAAAGGGGGAUACCUAGUCAGUUGUACAACUGAAUGCAUUCAACUGUAAGAGAUAAUGACGAUAGUUGGCAGUAGAAAGCCUAAAUAGUAUAUUUGACCUUUCAGCUUCCCUAUCAAAUCUAGACAUUUCAAGUAGACAAUUAACAACAAUGACAAAUGAUUUGAUGCAAAAACCUAAGAAAGAAAUUGGGA